CAUGUGGCUUAUGCCUCAUUUCAUUUGAACAGACGAUAAAUAUCUUAAAGAUGUCGUCUGGUGAUGCUUCCUUUACAGCUCCCUUCAAACUAUUGCACAACGCAAUGACUACAUCCACGCUCUUGUAGCCUAUUUCGAUGUAUCGUUUACCAUGUGCCACAAGCUUCUCGGUUUCUCAACAGGACCGAAGUCGUGGGCCACACACUGGAAACAAACAGUCAUGUACCUUGAAGAUGUCUUAACCAUAUGCGAGGGUGAGACAAUCACUGGAAGCAUGUCUGUUUCGUAUAACAAGAAGAAUCCUCGAGAUGUUGACAUAAAGCUAAGCUAUUCUUUGGAUGGUCAGCACUCCAAGAUCUCAAGGACUCAACACUACAAAAUGCGCUAAAUUUAUAAUUGAAACUAGGAAGAUACAAUUCUAAAUUUCUCAUAUUGUUGUGCUUUUAGUUUUUUUGUAUUUUUUUUCCUUUCAGUUUUGCAUCAUUCUCUUUGAUUCAUGAUUUUUUCUCUAAACCAUCACAUUAUAUGUUCCCUUUGUUA